AAUCAAGAGUGGAAAAAAUCUUGAAGAAUUGACUCACUAAAGCUUCCGUCAGACAUUGACAGCUCAAUGGAGCAUUGCUUUGCAGCCCCUGUAAUGGUAAUCAUAUGAAAGCAUUUGCCCCACCCCAGGGUGACCGUGGGAACCUGGAGAAGUUAAGAAAUGAAUGUAAUAGACUGAACUGCAAGCUGUGGCAGUCUGGGUCUGGAAGGAGAAGAAGCUGUAGAAGAUAUUUUCCUUCAGUAGCUUCUCCACAGCCAUGGUGGGAGAUGGCAGAAACAGCCAGCAUCACUUCUGGGAGGUGGACCACAGAAGAGAAAAAGAAACAACAGACCCAAUAGGAUGCCAUUAAGAAUAUUUAAUUCAUGGGAGGAGGUCAAAAUAUCAACAUUAGCUGGAUUUUGGAAAAAGUGGAUUCCAACCCUCAGUGGACGACUUUGUGGAAUUCAAGACUCCAAUAGAGGAAGUCACCACAAAUAGCAAAAGAACAAGAAUUACCUGUGCAGCCUGAAGACGGGACUGAAUUGCUGCAAUUGUAACAUCAAAUGUUAAAUCUGAACCAGACCAUGUCCUGAAACAAAAGAGGAAGAAUCUUUGGGGAGCUGUGCUGAUGGUUUUGGAUUUCUCCAAAGGAAGAAUGCUUUGCCUGAGUCUUGUAUCCUUGGAAUUAUUAGGAAUGUUUGCCAUUAAAUAAGAUCUGAUUCAUGUGAGUUUGAGUUGACAGCUCUACCCUAUGUGUUAUCUCAGAACUCUAUACAGCAAACUAUAGAAUAUUGUUGAGAUAAAUUAAAUGAAACCUUUCCAAAUGGAAAGAUAUAUAUCAUUUUAUAGAUUGGAAAACUUAAUACUAAAAAGUGAUAGAUUCAAUACAAUGGAAUCUAUUGUUUCUAAAAUGUGCAUUUGUGUUAGUUUAUGUAUGUAUAUAAAAAUUGAAAAGCUAAUUUUAAAAAUACACAUGAAAAUAAAAGGGCCAAGAAGAACUGAGA
rnacentral:lncRNA from 10 species